CAAACAAUCCCACUGCUGGAAAAGAACAACUGUUCUAAGACAUCAGCAGCCAGACCUAAAUUCUUCAUCAAUGGCAAACAUGGUUUGUUUCUAUUACUUAUUUAAAAUUACCCAACCUCUUCAAGGACCAAGAAACAGCGUUGGCUGCUCAUAUGGGAGAAUACCAAGGGAGAUCAACUGACACUUUGAUGUUUCGUUUAUAGAUGCAAAAUUCUCCCACAUUAAAAAAAAAUCCUGCAUCAACAAUUUUGGAAAUAAUGAAGGACCUUGUUUCUCAUUUUGACUUCUCUCAUUCUUUUCAUGGAACACUUAACUCAAUUAAAGUUGUUGACAUGCCACAGUCCAAUUUUUAAUGUCAAAAUGUAGCACUUGACCUCUUUUACUCCACAGUGUUCUUUUAUUAAUCACGUUUAUAUGGUGCAUGUUGGCUCAAGCCUCAGAAGGACAGGCCCCUUGUGAUUGACUAUUAAUUGAUUGAU